UCAGAACGAACGCUGGCGGCGUGCCUAACACAUGCAAGUCGAGCGCGAAUAGGGGCAACCCUUAGUAGAGCGGCGCACGGGUGCGUAACACGUGGAUAAUCUGCCUGGAUGCCUGGGAUAACCAGUCGAAAGAUUGGCUAAUACCGGAUAAGCCCACGGUUUCUUCGGAGACUGAGGGAAAAGGUGGCCUCUGUAUACAAGCUAUCACAACCAGAUGAGUCCGCGGCCCAUCAGCUAGUUGGCGGGGUAAUGGCCCACCAAGGCGACGACGGGUAGCUGGUCUGAGAGGACGAUCAGCCACACUGGAACUGAGACACGGUCCAGACUCCUACGGGAGGCAGCAGUGGGGAAUUUUGCGCAAUGGGCGAAAGCCUGACGCAGCAACGCCGCGUGUGUGAUGAAGGUCUUUGGAUUGUAAAGCACUUUCGACCGGGACGAAACCGUAAAGCCUAAUACGCUUUGCCUUGACGGUACCGGGAGAAGAAGCACCGGCUAACUCUGUGCCAGCAGCCGCGGUAAUACAGAGGGUGCAAGCGUUGUUCGGAAUUAUUGGGCGUAAAGCGCGUGUAGGCGGCUUUGCAAGUCGGGUGUGAAAGCCCUCAGCUCAACUGAGGAAGUGCGCCCGAAACUGCAGAGCUUGAGUGCCGGAGAGGGUGGCGGAAUUCCCCAAGUAG
rnacentral:rRNA from 1 species